rnacentral:rRNA from 1 species
UACGUAGGUCCAGAACGUUGCGCGAAUUUACUGGGCGUAAAGGGUCCGUAGGCGGUUUAGCAAGUGGUUGGUGAAAUUUCACGGCUCAACCGUGAAACUGCCUUCCAAACUGCUAAACUUGAGGCAGGGUGAUGUUGACGUAAUUCCCGGUGUAGCGGUGAAAUGCGUAGAUAUCGGGAGGAGCACCAGUGGCGAAGGCGGCCGACUGGAACUGUCCUGACGCUGAGGGACGAAAGCUAGGGGAGCAAACCGG